GGUUAGAGACCCGGUCAGGAAAGCCUUCGGGUGCUGAAGGAGGGGACUGUGGCCCAUCAGCUAGUUGGAGAGGUAAUGGCUCACCAAGGCUGGGACGGGUAGGGGGCCUGAGAGGGUGGUCCCCCACACUGGAACUGAGAGACGGUCCAGACUCCUACGGGAGGCAGCAGUAAGGGAUAUUGCGCGAAUGCGAAAGUCUGACGCAGCAACGCCGCGUGCGGGAGGAAGGCCUUCGGCGUAAACCGCUUUUCGAGGUGAAGAGCGAGGACGGUAGCCUCGGAAGAUCUCGGCUAA
rnacentral:rRNA from 1 species